rnacentral:rRNA from 1 species
UACGGAGGGUGCGAGCGUUGUCCGGAAUCACUGGGCGUAAAGGGCGCGUAGGCGGCUUCUUAAGCGGGCGGUGAAAGCCCGGGGCUCAACCCUUGAAUGCCGGUGGAUACUGUCGGGCUAGAGUCCGGAAGAGGCGAGUGGAAUUCCUGGUGUAGCGGUGAAAUGCGCAGAUAUCGGGAGGAACACCAGUAGCGAAGGCGGCUCGCUGGGCCACACCUGACGCUGAGACGCGAAAGCUAGGGGAGCGAACAGG